rnacentral:misc_RNA from 1 species
CUCUUUUUCGGGAUCCAACAUGGUUCUCAGUCAGUUCCGCUUUGUGGAAGUUGGCCGUGUGGCCUAUAUUUCCUAUGGGCCCGAUGCAGGAAAGCUCGCCGUUAUUGUUGAUGUUAUAGACCAGAACAGGGCUCUCGUAGAUGGACCCUGCUCUGGUGUAUCCAGAAAACAAAUGAACUUCAAGGCUCUUGAGCUGACAUCAAUUGUGAUGAAAAUUCCACGAGGUCUGCGUCCAGGAAACCUGCGUAAGGCUUGGGAAAAGCAGGAAGUACAGAAGAAGUGGGAUAGCACAACAUGGGCACAGAAAAUUGCAAAUAAGAAGAAGGUUGGUUAUCUUUUGUACUUCAUUUUGAUAUUCAUAUGUACAGGUAUAAUGGUUUUACCUGUAAGUAUUAUUGCAGAGAGCAUAAAAUGAGAAUUUUUUCUUCUUAUGAACAUGUAAAUAAAUAAUAUUUUUAAGUGAAGAAGAAAGGGGAGAUAGGGUAAUGGUAUAUCAGGAAUGUCACAUGGAUGAAGAGCCUUAUGUAUGAUAGGAAUUGCCGUCAGAGAAACAAUACUGCUGACAACUCCAUAUCAGACAUGUGACAUUCUACGGAUACUGAAUUCUCUUGAUUUUGUUUUCCAGUAAUGAUUUGAAAUGCAAAAAGAGAUUUUAUAUUGCCUCAUCAGUUACUAAUGUAUUACUUUCUUUGUUUAUCUUUGUUUUAAUAUUGGUUCUUUCAGAGAGAGAGAGAGAGAGAGAGAGUUUAAAAACAAGAUUUCAUUCACUGAGUUUUACAAUAUUGUGGUGUUACUUACUACUAGUAUAUGUGUACGUAAUAAUGUUGAUAAACAUUGAUAAGAUGUUUAAAUGGAAUCAAGAUAUUCAGGACAUUUUAAUUUAUAUACAUGUACAUAGAGUUUAUUGGUUUACAUGAACCCAGUAACGAAACAUUUAUUUCACUGAAAGAAUUGAUAGAUUAAGGAAAAUGUUGUGACAAUGUUAAAUAAUGAAUAUUGGUUUGAUUGAAGAAAACAAACUUAGCAAACAGUUGACCUGAUAGACUUAUGGAACUGUGUUAAAAUAAUUGACUGAAAAGAGAAGAUUUCAAAUUUUUAAUUGCUGCAUGGAUGAAGAACCUUUGAUCAUUGAUAGGAAUUGCCGUCAGAGACAAAUCCUGCUGACAACUCACUGUCAGACAUGCAGUUAAUUAUAAGAAAUAUUUAACAUGGGUACUGCUUGUGUAUAAAUUGUUUCUAUGUUUCUUUAUUAUUAAGCACAGUUUGGUCUUGUUAUUACAACAGUUUUAAAAAUAUGGGCAUGAGCCCACUCACUCAAUUUUUGUGAGAAAAAACUGAAACAAAUUAAUACAUGUAUGAUAGAAGAAAUCUACAGUCAUUUUACUGGAUCAAGUUAGGAUUUAUGUGCAGUCAUACAAAAUAAAAAAUACAGUGAUAAAAAAUACAUUUACAUAAUUUGUUUAAGGGAGGGGGGCAUAAACUAAAUUUACAAAUAUGACUUUAAAACUUAAUUUUUAUUCAAGAAAAGUAAUCUAGUACAAACUCAAAUUUGUAUACAUUAUGUCAUUGCUGCAUGGAUGAAGAACCUUAGAUCAUUGAUAGGAAUUGCCGUCUGAGACAAAUCCUGCUGACUACUCAUUGUCAGACAUGCAGUUUAAUAAUCUUGGACAACCUUUAAGUUAUCACAACUAAAGGGUAUUUGGCAGUCUGUGUGUAGAGAUGACAGUGUUUUUUGGUUUGGCUUACCUUGUUAUUUUAAUUUCAGCGUGCACAGCUCACAGACUUUGACAGAUUCAAGUUGAUGAAGGCUAAACAGGCGAGGAAUCGUCUCAUUAAUGUUGAGUUUGGCAAACUGAGGAAAACAGUGAAAAGACCUGCCCCUAGACUAAGAAAGAAGAAGUCUGUGAAGAAAUAAACUUUUGUCAUCAAUAAAUGUGAUG